rnacentral:rRNA from 1 species
GACGAACGCUGGCGGCGUGCCUAAUACAUGCAAGUAGAACGCUGAAGGAGGAGCUUGCUUCUCUGGAUGAGUUGCGAACGGGUGAGUAACGCGUAGGUAACCUGCCUGGUAGCGGGGGAUAACUAUUGGAAACGAUAGCUAAUACCGCAUAAGAGUAGAUGUUGCAUGACAUUUGCUUAAAAGGUGCAAUUGCAUCACUACCAGAUGGACCUGCGUUGUAUUAGCUAGUUGGUGGGGUAACGGCUUACCAAGGCGACGAUACAUAGCCGACCUGAGAGGGUGAUCGGCCACACUGGGACUGAGACACGGCCCAGACUCCUACGGGAGGCAGCAGUAGGGAAUCUUCGGCAAUGGACGGAAGUCUGACCGAGCAACGCCGCGUGAGUGAAGAAGGUUGUCGGAUCGUAAAGCUCGGUUGUAAGAGAAGAACGAGUGUGAGAGUGGAAAGUUCACACUGUGACGGUAUCUGACCAGAAAGGGACGGCUAACUACGUG